rnacentral:rRNA from 1 species
UACAGAGGGGGCAAGCGUUGUUCGGAAUUACUGGGCGUAAAGGGCGCGUAGGCGGCGUGUCAAGUCAGGCGUGAAAGCCCCGGGCUCAACCUGGGAACCGCGCUUGAGACUGGCAUGCUCGAGUUCGGGAGAGGAUGGUGGAAUUCCCAGUGUAGAGGUGAAAUUCGUAGAUAUUCGCAAGAACACCAGUGGCGAAGGCGGCUCACUGGCCCGGUACUGACGCUGAGGUGCGAAAGCGUGGGGAGCAAACAGG